UCCUAAUAAGCCCCAAUUUUUUUAGCUAAAACUAAAAAAAUAACCCCUAAAAAAAAUUUAGGAUUUGAUGGCAAGGACGGCCGAAAGAAAAUUAAAUUUAUUUUUUUUUUUUUAAGNGCUGCGAUAUUUCGUUUAAAAAUUCUUUGGCGAGNGGCANAAAAUCGGAGGCCCCGACNGUUUACUAAAAACACAAUUUUCANCAAUGAUUAANAAUCAUAGUAUUGAANAUGAAAUUUGCUCGAUGCCUGNAAUAUAACCAAGAGAAAUGGUCCCUUAAAGGGCUUUUCGCGUAAUAUUUUGUAAACCUAAAUCUAAAUUUUAAUCUAAAUCUAAACUUUCUCUCCCCCUCUAAUAAAUGGGGCCCGAAAGAAACCUAAAUGUUUUUUUUUACACAAGGAUAAUUAAGCAAAUCUUAAACUUGUCCCCCUUAAAUACUUACGUACGGGGGGACCUCAGGUGGACAUUCAAUAUAUCCAUAAGUUUUUUUUUACUUUUGAAACCUAAAUGUUUUUUUUUACACAAGGAUAAUUAAGCAAAUCUUAAACUUGAAAAGGUGGACAGCAAAUCUUUAUUAUAAAAUUGGAUCUUAAAGUUUAUUUUUAAAUAACUAGAGUAUUAAACGAUUUGUUAGCUGUUCUUUUGGGAAGUUCUGGUGAAUGGCGGUCUUAACUAUGAGGAUCCUAAGGUAGCAAAAUAAAUUGGCCAUUAAAUGUGGUCCGGUAUCAAUAAUGUAACGAUGGCCUCACUGUCUCUACAACUUGCUCAGUGAAA
rnacentral:rRNA from 1 species